CAAUAGCGUAUAUUAAAGUUGUUGCGGUAAAAAAGCUCGUAGUUGGACUUCUGUUGAGAGAUACCGGUCCAUGCAACGCAUGCGUAUUUGGUAAGUCUCGGCAUCCUCUCGAAAAACUUCUUUGCGCUUGAUUGCGUGAAAAGAGUUUCGGGACUUUUACUUUGAGGAAAUUAGAGUGUUCACGGCAGGCCAUCGCCAGGAUACAUUAGCAUGGAAUAAUACUAUAUGAUCUUGAUCCUAUUUUGUUGGUUUCUAGGAUUAAGAUAAUGAUUAAUAGGGACAAUUGGGGGCAUUCGUAUCAACACGUCAGAGGUGAAAUUCUUGGAUUGUGUUGCGACGAACUACUGCGAAAGCAUUUGCCAAGGAUGUUUUCAUUGA
rnacentral:rRNA from 1 species